UCAUUCCAUGUCCUGAUACAGAGGGGGCAUGGUAAUUUUCCCAGCUGUGCACGGCAGCAAUUGGUCCUCUCCAGGGUCCUCAGCAUCACUGCAUCGUGAUCAGUUAAACUGCUCAAUCUUUGGAAGCGUUAUUUGUCAGCUUAAUUAGCCCUAAAGGAAGCACUUGUUUUAAAAUAGGACAACAGUUUUGUUUUUCCCUGAGAAGGACAUAAUGUUAUUAGCAGUGGCAACUUGUUUAAAUAAAAGUGCUUUUAAGCUGAGUUUUGUAAGAACCCCUACUUAGCACUCAGGUUUCCCCCCCCACCCCUGAAGUCACCCAUCUCCUGUGAGCUGCCAGCCUCAUCAGCACCAGAUUAACGCAAUGACGUGGUUCUGCAAUGGGUCAGAUACCAUCACGCAGCAAGGAAAGACAAGAAAGAUGUCUUCAUCAAGAAGAUGGGGGUAAAAAGGUCAGAACGAGUCUUGGAAAAAGCCACAGAAAGUCCUGACUGUGGGGACUACGGACCACAGGCCAGAUCAGUUCUUCUCUUUGGGCUAGGCAAAGCUGACAAGUACCCCAGUAUAUGGGAAGGAAUAAGCCACCAAACUUUUAAUUAGCUGCCACAGAUUUGGGACACGGCCAGGAAUUUUAUGAAUAAGCAGCACACCGGGAUCCGAGGGACGAGGCAUCCCCUCUCCUGCCGCUGUA